rnacentral:rRNA from 1 species
UACGUAGGGACCGAGCGUUGUCCGGAUUCAUUGGGCGUAAAGAGCUCGUAGGCGGCUUGUCGCGUCGACUGUGAAAUCUCGGGGCUUAACCCUGAGCCUGCUUCCGAUACGGGCAGACUAGAGGUAUGCAGGGGAGAACGGAAUUCCUGGUGUAGCGGUGAAAUGCGCAGAUAUCAGGAGGAACACCAAUGGCGAAGGCAGCUCGCUGGGACGGUACUGACGCUGAGACGCGAAAGCGUGGGGAGCAAACAGG